rnacentral:antisense_RNA from 1 species
AUUUAUGGUGAGCUGGGCAAGGGCAGCUUCGUGCUGGCCGUUUUCACAUGUAGCGGUAGUCCUAACCCUUCUUAGCUCGCCACCUCG